CCUACGGGCGGCAGCAGUGGGGAAUAUUGGACAAUGGGGGGAACCCUGAUCCAGCCAUGCCGCGUGUGUGAAGAAGGCCCUCGGGUUGUAAAGCACUUUCAGUGAGGAAGAACGCCUGGUGGUUAAUACCCAUCAGGAAAGACAUCACUCACAGAAGAAGCACCGGCUAACUCCGUGCCAGCAGCCGCGGUAAUACGGAGGGUGCGAGCGUUAAUCGGAAUUACUGGGCGUAAAGCGCGCGUAGGUGGCUUGAUAAGCCGGUUGUGAAAGCCCCGGGCGCAACCUGGGAACGGCAUCCGGAACUGUCAAGCUAGAGUGCAGGAGAGGAAGGUAGAAUUCCCGGUGUAGCGGUGAAAUGCGUAGAGAUCGGGAGGAAUACCAGUGGCGAAGGCGGCCUUCUGGACUGACACUGACACUGAGGUGCGAAAGCGUGGGUAGCAAACAGGAUUAGAUACCCUAGUAGUC
rnacentral:rRNA from 1 species